UACGGGGGGGCAAGCGUUGUUCGGAAUUACUGGGCGUAAAGGGUUUGUAGGUGGCUUGCUAAGUCAGACGUGAAAUCCCUCAGCUUAACUGGGAACUGCGUCUGAUACUGGCGAGCUUGAGUGCAGGAGAGGAACGCGGAAUUCCAGGUGUAGCGGUGAAAUGCGUAGAUAUCUGGAGGAACACCGGUGGCGAAGGCGGCGUUCUGGACUGUAACUGACACUGAGAAACGAAGCCAGGUAGCAACGGG
rnacentral:rRNA from 1 species